GGUCGGAUGGUGAAAUGGUAUCGCGUGGUCCUCCUUUCAAAAAGAUACAGACCAAGAUUGCGGGUUCGAGUCCCGUUUCAAUCG